UACGUAGGGCGCAAGCGUUGUCCGGAUUUAUUGGGCGUAAAGAGCGUGUAGGCGGCCAGGUAGGUCUGCUGUGAAAACUCGAGGCUCAACCUCGAGACGUCGGCGGAAACCAUCUGGCUAGAGUCCGGAAGAGGAGUGUGGAAUUCCCGGUGUAGCGGUGAAAUGCGCAGAUAUCGGGAAGAACACCCGUGGCGAAGGCGGCACUCUGGGACGGUACUGACGCUGAGACGCGAAAGCGUGGGGAGCGAACAGG
rnacentral:rRNA from 1 species